GAUGGCUCUGGUAAUGGAACAGGAGCUAAUGAUGCACCUGAGGCUGACUCAGCCCCUGCAGAACAGGGAGCAGCAGUGGCGGGAACUUCACUUUCAGAUGCACAGCAAGGAGUUGUCAUUAGUUGUCCCAUUUGCAUGGAUUCUUACUCAGAGAUUUUGCAAAGUGGACGACUGAUUGUGGCAACCAUGUGUGGCCAUGUCUUCUGCAGCGAGUGCCUCCCUGUUGCCGUGGAGACUAUCGGCGUGUGCCCAACCUGCAGGGUGGAACUUACUCCAGAUCUGUACCAUCCCAUUUAUAUAUGAGUGCUUCUGCUUCUCAGGACCGACUCAGAUGGAUCUUGGACUAUAGGGAGUGUAGAUACUUGUUUCUUUAUGUAUAUAGUUCUUCCUGUAUAUAGUUUCAUUUUUGAUCAAUUCAUUGUUAAAUAAAGUUUUGAAUAGUUGAAAUAUA